ensembl:lncRNA
CCACUGCUCUCAAAUCAUCAAGACAACUGAGGCUUUGAGGAUUUGCUAUGAAACUUUCAACAGAAGGAACUCCCGUGGAUGAAUUACAUUGUUCUUUAUGGAAAAGAUGAAAACUUUCUUUGUGGCUCUCAUGGUUAUUGGCUAUUUCUCAUGUAAGGAUUUAUCAAAGAACCUCAGGGAGGGAGUAAACAAUUGAUCUUCUAAGGGAAGUAACAAGCCAAUGAUAAUCGUUUUCUAGAUGAAGGAAUUUCUGAAAUUUUGACAUUUCUCUUGGAGUUAAAAAAUUCACUACCUUGACUAAAAUAAUUAAUGGUGGUUGAAUUCAUUUUUUAGUAUCCCAAGAAUUCAGCCAUAGACAGGUUUAGACUCAAGAUAUUUUAAAGGAUGAACUUAAGAAGUAUAACAUUUGACAAGUAAUUGGUCUUCGACUUUAUAAUGAAUUUCAUCUCCCCUCCCUCUUCUUCCUAAUACUUGCACACCAGCCAGAAACCUCCACAAACUUGUACUUUUUGUGUGCACACACACAAAUGCCUUCUGCACAAAGCAGUGUCAGUUUCUGAUGCGGCUUACUCUUAGAGCACAACCCAGUGAUAGCAAUGUCACAAGUAAGGGAAGUCCAUGAUGGGAAACUGAAUCUGCUGGCAGGAUGGCACAGAUAGAGGGGGAGACAAAGAGGAGCUUCAGCCUCAGCAGCUGAAAGAAGUCAAGGCUGUGAAGUAGACAUGAGGGAUGAAGGUAAUAGGUACCAUUAAAAGUUUGGGUAAGCAGUUGCUGACACAGAGGCCAAACAAAGAAGGAAGAUGUUUCCUUGGAAGCAGAUGGAGUUUGGAAAGAGUAUAUUCAGAAGGACAGGAAGUGAUUUUUUAAAAUGGAGGCAGGUAUGUAAGAGUUCAGUCAGCAGGUAGCCAGGAUGACUAUCAAGAAUUAGACUUUUCUCUGAAAUGGAUCUAGCAACGUGUGAACUGCCCAGUCGUGGAGGAUAUGUUGAGUCCAGGAUUCAAAUCUCUCCUGCUUAAGGUCAGCUUUAAAGCUAGGUAUGGGCCAAGGCUGAAUUCUCAGGUGGCACAUUGUGUGUCAGGCAUGAGGAGAGGAAGGGAGCCAUGUUCAGGAAUCAGGCCUGACCAGACAAACCUUGCAUGAAGAAGCCACAUAUUUUUCUAUAUUUUUGGUAACAUCGGAGAUAAGAGCUUUGGAAUUCACUCUUUCAGUUCGACAUCUUGGAAAAUGUCAGAAGUUCAAGAAAUCUUGACUGUGAAGUGACUUUCUUUUAUUCAUCAUAAAUGAACCCAUCUGAAUCAACCAUCAUCUUUCCUUCAAAAGGGGCAUAAGGAACAUGAAAGAGGUACUACUGAACUCUUAAAUUAAGGCUGACUGGAGUGAUACUAACAGCAUUCAGUGGAUAAAUACCCUUCAAUGCCCAACACAAUAAAGAAGUGACCCAUCCAAAAUGCCAAGAGUUGACUUCCCUGAUGGUCCAAUGGUUAAGAAUCCACUUGCCGAUGCAGAGUACAUGGGUUCAAUCCCUGUUCCAGGAGGAUUCCACAUUCUGUGGGGCAGUGGAGCCCACGCACCGCAACUACUGAACCAGCGUGCCCUAGAGCCCACAUUCCACAACAGGAGAAGCCGCUGCAAGAGAAGCCUGUGGACCACAACUGGAGAGUAGCCACCACUUGCCACAACUGGCGUAAGCAGUGAAGACCCAGCACAGCCGUAGAUAAAUGAAUAGAAUUUUUAAAUUUUAAAAACAUCUGCUUUAACAAUUAACAAACAAAAAACCCAAAAUGCCAAUGCUGCUUCUACUAAGAAACAUCUCACCCAUAGAGGCAAAGUAUCUAUUGCAUCCAACCCUGCUGCUUCUUCCCAUGCCUACCCCAAGUAUUGGUAAUCAAUGAGAGCACACUCCACUGAGUUGGACAUGGUUUCAAAAUCUUUCUCAACACAGCAAUCAAAGCAUGUUUUGUCCAUCAGAUUUGGCAUGGAAGACAAAACCCAUUUGCCAUUCUUGCCCUUACCUUUUUAAAACAAAGGAAGCA